GAUGAAGAACGCAGCGAAAUGCGAUACUUGGUGUGAAUUGCAGAAUCCCGUGAACCAUCGAGUCUUUGAACGCAAGUUGCGCCCGAAGCCACUAGGCCGAGGGCACGCCUGCCUGGGCGUCACACGCCGUUGCCCCCCCAUCUACUCCUUCGGGAUUGCGGGGGGGCGGAUGAUGGCCUCCCGUGCGCCUAGCCGCGCGGUUGGCAUAAAUACCAAGUCCUCGGCGACGCACGCCACGACAAUCGGUGGUUGCGAAACCUCGGUUGCCCGUCGUGUGCGUUCGUCGCGCAUCGAUGGCUCGAAAAAAUGCUCGGCUCCGGCUGGGCUUUCAACGCGACCCCAGGUCAGGCGGGGUUACCCGCUGAAUUUAAGCAUAUCAAUAAGCGGAGGA
rnacentral:misc_RNA from 1 species